rnacentral:rRNA from 1 species
AAAUUGAAGAGUUUGAUCAUGGCUCAGAUUGAACGCUGGCGGCAGGCUUAACACAUGCAAGUCGAACGGUAGCAGGAAGGAAGCUUGCUUUCUUUGCUGACGAGUGGCGGACGGGUGAGUAAUGCUUGGGGAUCUGGCUUAUGGAGGGGGAUAACGACGGGAAACUGUCGCUAAUACCGCGUAAUGUCUAAGGACUAGAGGGUGGGACUUUCGGGCCACCUGCCAUAAGAUGAGCCCAAGUGGGAUUAGGUAGUUGGUGGGGUAAAGGCCUACCAAGCCGACGAUCUCUAGCUGGUC